UUUUGUGUAAUGUGUAUAUUUGUGUUUAUUUAUUUCUAAUGCCAAACUGCACUACAUUUUUAUUUAUAUUUUAGAAGUGUUCAUUUUAUUGUGUGAUAACAUUAAUCAUUGAUACUGAGCAAUUUGCACUGAAGCCACUUUUCAAUUUACAGUUUUACAGUUUGAUUUGUUUACAAAAUCUCACUCAGGUUACGUUUUGAUAUUGUAUUUUUCUGUGUGCAAUUUAAAGUUAAAUAAAUGUUAAGAGUUCUA